UCCUUCUUAGCUCAGUUGACAGAGCGCGUCACUAGUAUGGAUAUGUGAACAGUUUUCAUGACGAGGUCAGUCGUUCAAGUCGGCUAGAAGGAA